rnacentral:rRNA from 1 species
GAUGAACGCUGGCGGCGUGCCUAAUACAUGCAAGUCGAGCGAACGGACGAGACGCUUGCUUCUCUGAUGUUAGCGGCGGACGGGUGAGUAACACGUGGAUAACCUACCUAUAAGACUGGGAUAACUUCGGGAAACCGGAGCUAAUACCGGAUGAUAUUUUGAACCGCAUGGUUCAAAAGUGAAAGACGGUCUUGCUGUCACUUAUAGAUGGAUCCGCGCUGCAUUAGCUAGUUGGUAAGGUAACGGCUUACCAAGGCAACGAUGCAUAGCCGACCGGAGAGGGGGAUAGGCCACACGGGAAGUGGAACACGGUCCAGACUACUACGGGAGGGAGCAGUAGGGAAUGGGCAGCAAUGGGCGAAAGCCUGACGGAGCAACGCGGAGUGAGGGAUGAAGGUGUUCGGAUCGUAAAACUCUGUUAGUAGGGAAGAACAUAUGUGUAAGUAACUGUGCACAUCGUGACGGUACCUAAUCAGAAAGCCACGGAUAACUACGUG